CCUGGUUGAUACUGCCAGUAGCAUAUGCUUGUCUCAAAGAUUAAGCCAUGCACGUGUAAGUACACAUGGUUGAUACAGUAAAACUGCAAAUGGCUCAGUUAUGGUUCCUUUGACUGCUCCUUCUGUUAGUAGGAUAACUGUGGAUAUCCUAAGCUAAUAGAUUCCAACAAGCGCUGACCUCUCGUGAUGCAUGGAAUUAUCAGGCCAAGACCAAUCCGUGUUUGUCUAUCCAAUUUGGUGACUCUAGAUAAGCUUGGGCAGAUCGUACAUCCCCGUGAUAGCGACAAUACAUUUUGAUGUCAUUUCUAUCAACUUUCAAUGGUACUUUCUGUGUCUACCAUGGUGAUCAUGGGUAAAGGGGAAUCAGACUUUGAUUCUGGAGAGCGAGCCUGAGAAAUGGCUACCACAUCCAAGGAAGGCAGCAGGUGCACAAAUUACCCACUCCCGACUCUGGAAAGGUAGUGACAAAAAAUAACACUGCAGGACUCUUUUGAGGGCCUGUAAUUGGAAUAAGUACACUUCAAAUCCUUUUACAAGGAUCCAUUGGAGGGCAAGUCUGGUGCUAGCAGCUGUGUUAAUUCCAGCGGCAAUAGCAUAUAUUGAAGUUGCUGCAGUUCAAAAGCUCGUAGUUGGAUCUAGGAUCGAGCUGGCGAUCCGCCUAUCUAUGCCCCCUUGUUCUCUUGACUGAGUGUCCUGGGGGGUCUGAAGCAUUUACUUUGAAAACAGGCCCUUUGCACCAAUACCUCAGCUAGGAAUGAAGGAAUAGGACUCUGGUUCUAUUUUGUUGGUUUUCAGAACUGGGACCAGGAUUAAGAGAGACGACCAGGGGCUUUCGUAUUGUGCCGCUAGAGAGGACAUUUUUGGAUUGUCGUAGUUCUGACCAUAAACAAUGCUGACUAGAGAUUCUGAAGCGUUAUUCCCAUGACCCACCAAACAGCUAACAGGAGACCAAAGUCUUUGGGUUCCGGUGGGAGUAGGGUUACACAGCUGAAACUUAAAGGAAUUGAUAGAAGCGCAUCACCAGGAGUGGAGCCUGCAGCUUAAUUUGACUCAACAUGGGAAACCUCACCCAGCCCUUGCACAGAAAGGAUUAACAGAUAGAUAGCUCUUUCCCGAUUCUGUGGGUGGUGGUACAUGGCCGUUCUUAGUCGAUGGAGUGAUUUGUCUGGUUAAUACCGAUGAAGAACGAGACUUCUCUAUGAUAACAAGAUACCCGAUCACCAGCGGUCAGUGUUCAACUUCCUAGAGGGACAAGUGGCAUUCAGCCAGACAAGAUCAAGCAAUAAUAGGUCUGUUAUGCCCUUAUAUUUCUGGGGCUGCACGUGGGCGCAAUGAAUGGACCAGCGUGUAUCUACCCUUCACCGACAGGUCUGGUAACACGCGGAAUCCCAUUCAUGAUAUGGAUUGGGGAUUGCAAUUAUUUCCCAUGAACGAGGAAUUUUCAUUAAGUGUAGGUCAUAAGCUUGCAUUGAUUAAGGCCCUGCCCUUUGUACACACCACCCAUCACUACUACCCGACUGGAUGUUUUAGUGAGAUCUUCAGAUUGAUCCCACCAGGGUCGGGAAUAGUCCUAGCAGAGCUCUGCGAAGACGAUCAAACCUGGCUUUCCGGCGAAACUAAAAGUCGUUACAAGGUUUCUGAAACAGAAACAUCAGAAG
rnacentral:rRNA from 1 species